CAAUAAUCAACUUCACUCUAAUUCCACAUAUUUCAAAUAAAUUAUUUGCAAUUAAAAUUACUCAUGAUUAAGUACCUAUCAACAAUCGUACUACAGCACAGCAUGACCACACGCAAUGCUUAAUUGCAAGAACAUGGCUCCCUAGUCCAAUAAUGAAAAAAGAGAGUUGAACGUUAAUCAAUUUACAAUUCAAGAGAUAAAAACUGCAACUCUCACUGGAAUUCAGCAAACUCAGAACAAGCUGCAAAAAGGCGGUGCAAAUUUGAUUCUUCUCCACAUAACUAUAUCCAAGCAUUCAAUUUUAUGCAGGUGGCUGUCUUAAACUUCACAUCAUCUUCAGCAAUAGUAUUGAGUGUAUUUUCCCCAAAUCUUCAGUUGUGAUCAGAUCUUUCACUUCUUCUCAUACCUAGUAAAUUGAGCUCCAGCUCCCCAUCCUGUUUUGAAAAGCAAAUGUCUUUUGCACCCAGUCUCUUUAUAAGAAAUCUUUGCAUUGUCGAACCAGGCUACCGUGUAGGUGGGACAGAUCCAAAUUAGAUAUAUGCACAACAAUGCUACUCUUUUAUUCAUUUUAAGUUCCACAACUCAAAUUGCAGUCCACAAUUUCAUCGAUUAGUUGCAAACAUGCAGCAUAAAUAGUUUCUGUUUAGGCAUGCUGCUCCACUGGAAGCAAAUGGAAGUACCUGUGAAAGUCACUGGGGAACAGUCACUGACUCAUCCUGGACAUGAUAUAUGCAAACAUAGCAGCACAAAGUCAAUAGAAGGAAUGCACCUGAAUGUUGAGAUGGCCAGAAGCAUUAACACUAGUUGACCUACUCGAUACAAGAACUUUUUUCCCAACAUUUUUAGAAUCAACUCAAGACAAGGGCAUCUGACACCAAACUUCCGCUCUCUCAAAAGAGGGGAAGAAAAUAACACAGCUACUAGCAUCAUCUUCUCAACUUGGCAGUAAAAUUCCAAUGUUCUUCUUUGUAGAAUGUAUAUAGCUGUAUCCAGGAUUCUUUUUCAAACUCCUCUCUUCCAUUAAGUUUCUCAUAUUCCAAGCAUCAUUCCAUGCACCAGCUGCAGCAUAUAUGCCUGCUAAAGCAACAUAGUUUGCUGAAUUUUCUGGAUCCAUAUUGAAAAGGUGUGUGGCUGCUGCUUCUCCAAGAGACAUAUUACCAUAAAUGCUGCAUGCCCCUAGAAUGGUGCCCCAUAAUGACGUGCUAGGCUUAAUAUUCAUCUUGCAUAUCAUAUUAUAAGCUGCUUCCAACUGCCCUCCACGCGCCAAAAGAUCAAUCAGGCAAGAAAAAUGCUCAUCUCGUGGCAGGAUAUCAUAUUUGUUAAUCAUAUUAUGGUAGCAUUCCCAUCCCUCACCAGUCAAUCCUGAAUGACUGCAAGCAAAGAGAAGAGACAAGAAUGUGAUAUCAUUUGGCUUCAAACCUUCAAAUUCCAUCUUCUUGUACAGAGCAAUUGCUUUGUGUCCAUAUCCAUGCUUCCCAUAGCCAGUAAUCAAUGAAGUCCAUGAAAUCACAUUUUUCUCCUCCAUCUCAUAAAAAGCACGUGCAGCAUCCUCAAUUUCUCCGGAUUUUGCAUACAUAUCAAUCAGAGCAUUGCCCAUGGCCACAUCAUAACUCUGUUUAUAUUUUAAAGCAAGGGCAUGAAUUUGUCUUCCCAUGCUCAGGCAUGCUGCGUUGGCGCAUAUAUUAAGCAUAGCACAGAACGUAACAUCAUCUAUCUCCAUGUGUAUCUGCUGUAUUUCCUUGAAGAUAUCCAGGGCCUCUCCACUAUAGUUACUGUUGUGUGCAUAUCCAGUCAUAAGGGCAGUAAAAGAUUUUACAUCUUUCUUUAGCAUGUUCUCGUAUAAAUCAUAAGCACUUUCUAUGCUUUCACAUUUUGAAUAUGCAUCAAUUAAUGACCCAUUCAAAUCAAUAUGUGAUCCAAGCCCUAGUUGGAUGAUAAUUCCAUGAAUUUGGCAGACUUUGAUGAGGUCAUUAGCCCUACUAGACGCCUUUAAAACACUCCCCAAUGUGAAGCAAUCAGGGAUUAUACCUAUUUAAAUUUUAGUACUUCAAAAAGGCUAGAGAAAACUGAAUGUAAAAAAUAAAAAAAUAAAAAAAUAGCAAGAUUACAAAAGAAAUUUCUACACAAUGUUAAUCAAAACAAGAGCAUUCUUAUAAAAGAAAACAACAGAUAACCCAAAGAGAGACUCAGUAAAUUGGCAUGCCGUCAAAAUUCUCUUAAAGAGGAGCCAUAGUGUAGGAAAGAAUUUUCCUACGAGAUGUUAAUUGGCAGCAUCCAAGGAUAUCCUACCCGGUUUCUUUAUUACUUCAUUAGUACGUUAUACUUUUUCCAAUGCAUAAAAUUUAUUGGCUCUAAACAGACUCUGCCUUGUCCAUAUCCAUUUCUUAUUUAUACCAAAAGAAACCGAAAGAUUAUCACCAAGACCACUUGGUAAAUUUUGUCCAUUUUUAAAAAUGGUCGUAACGCCUAUCAGACGUCCGUAAUAAGAAAUAUAUGACAAUGGCAAGGAAAAACCUGUCUCAAAAAUAUGGUGCAAGCAGAUACAAAUUCACGAGUAUCAAAUACAAAAAAGUCCAUGCUCAAGAGAAAUAAAAGAAGAAGACGAAGAAAAGCCAUACCUUCUCCCAUCAUUGAAUGAAACAUCCGAAAUGAAUCAUCUGCAAAACCCUGUACAGCAUAACCACCAAUCAUUGCAUUCCAGGAAACCACAUCCCUCUCAGACAUCGUUCCAAAUAAAUAGCAAGCAUGCUCCAUGUUUCCGCACUUGGAGUGCAGAUCAAUCAAUGCACUUUGCACAAACAAGUUACCAAGAAACCUACUCUUCUGGAUGCACCCUUGUAUUUGCAUCCCUCUAUACAAACACCUCAAACCAGUACAAGCCCUCAAAACGCUCCCAUAAGUGAAAUGAUUUGCUCUAACUCCCGCUCGACCCAUUUCUAAAAACAUUAACAAUGCGUCUUGGUAAUACCCAUUUUGCGUAUAUCCAGAAAUUUGAGCUGUCCAUGACACCACGCUUCUUGCAGGCAUUCUGUCAAAAACCUUGCGAGCACUGACAGUAUCACCCCGUUUCGCAUAAAAUAUGACCAAUUUGGUGCUUAAGUUCACAUUUGAAUCGAAUCCAUUCCUUAUUAUGUAGCUAUGGACCAAAGGACCUCGUUUGAAGUCUUUCAUUUCAACGCAGCGUCCCAAGAUGUUCAUACACUGUGAGUAGCCUAACUGAUUUGGCCUGAUAUGUUUGAGGUUUCCAGUUUCUGACAAUGUUGCUGGGUUGCCAAGUGAAUGGACGUGCUGUUUCAAUAAACUGAGAUGGAAUCCGUUGUAGUUAUGCGUUUCCAGAAGAACAUUUCUCAUGGUCUGGUUAACGAUUUUCGCGCAGAGAUUUUCUGGAGGGAAAGGAAAGGUUAGGGAACCCAUUUUAUCCGACGGUUUAUUCAGUGGUGCACAACUCUUUAUCAUUUGAGAGUGC
rnacentral:misc_RNA from 1 species